CAGCCGCCGCGGGAAUACAGAGGGUGCAAGCGUUAAUCGGAAUUACUGGGCGUAAAGCGCGCGUAGGUGGUUUGUUAAGUUGGAUGUGAAAGCCCCGGGCUCAACCUGGGAACUGCAUCCAAAACUGGCAAGCUAGAGUAUGGUAGAGGGUGGUGGAAUUUCCUGUGUAGCGGUGAAAUGCGUAGAUAUAGGAAGGAACACCAGUGGCGAAGGCGACCACCUGGACUGAUACUGACACUGAGGUGCGAAAGCGUGGGGAGCAAACAGGAUUAGAUACCCCAGUAGUCCCUGUCUCUUAUAC
rnacentral:rRNA from 1 species